GAUGAACGCUGGCGGCGUGCUUAAUACAUGCAAGUCGAACGAAAAGGCCCUGCGUUUGUGGGGUGCUCGUGUGCCGAACGGGGGUGAGUCACGUGAGUAACAUGCACUUGUCUGUGGGAUAACUUCAGGAAACUGGGGAUAAUACCGGAUAGGAGCUCCUGCUGCAUGGUGGUGGUUGGAGAGUUUCGGCGGUGGGGGAUGGACUCGCGGCUUAUCAGCUUGUUGGUGAGGUAGUGGCUUACCAAGGUUUUGACGGGUAGCCGGCCUGAGAGCGUGAACGGCCACCUUGGGACUGCGAUACGGACCAGACUCCUACCGGCGGCAGCAGUGGGGAAUAUUACGCAAUGGGCGGAAGCCUGAUGCAGCAACGCCGCGUGCGGGAUGACGGCUUUCGAGUGGUAAACCGCUUUCGCCUGUGACGAAGCGUUCGUGACGGUAAUUGGUAAAGAAGCCCCGGCUAACUACGUG
rnacentral:rRNA from 1 species